GGAUCCAAUUAGCUUGAGGGAAACGUUUACUCUUGCUUAUGUGAAGCUUGGGUAAGGUUGUGAAUAAAUAAUUGGAGCUUGAAAUUGUGAAUACUGGAACUUGGAGGAAUCUGAUUAGUUGAAUUUUGAGGGGCUGCCUUGAUUUUGAAUAAAUAGCUUUGGUCAUUACGUGGAAAUCAGCCAAGAUGCAGGUCGAGAGGCAUCUCGUUAGGCGUCUAGACUCUUGAAGCGGAG